UUAGCGGCGGACGGGUGAGUAACGCGUGGGAACGUGCCCUUCUCUGCGGAAUAGGCUCGGGAAACUGGGUUUAAUACCGCAUACGCCCUUCGGGGGAAAGAUUUAUCGGAGAAGGAUCGGCCCGCGUUAGAUUAGGUAGUUGGUGGGGUAAUGGCCUACCAAGCCUACGAUCUAUAGCUGGUUUGAGAGGAUGAUCAGCCACACUGGGACUGAGACACGGCCCAGACUCCUACGGGAGGCAGCAGUGAGGAAUCUUGGACAAUGGGGGAAACCCUGAUCCAGCCAUGCCGCGUGAGCGAUGAAGGCCUUAGGGUUGUAAAGCUCUUUCAGUCGUGAAGAUAAUGACGGUAGCGACAGAAGAAGCCCCGGCUAACUCCGUGCCAGCAGCCGCGGUAAUACGGAGGGGGCUAGCGUUGUUCGGAAUUACUGGGCGUAAAGCGCGCGUAGGCGGACUAUUAAGUCAGGGGUGAAAUCCCGGGGCUCAACCCCGGAACUGCCUUUGAUACUGGUAGUCUAGAGUUCGAGAGAGGUGAGUGGAAUUCCGAGUGUAGAGGUGAAAUUCGUAGAUAUUCGGAGGAACACCAGUGGCGAAGGCGGCUCACUGG
rnacentral:rRNA from 1 species